GCCGGGUGUGGUGGCGUGCGCCUGUAAUCCCAGCUACUCAGGAGGCUGAGGCAGGAGAAUCGCUUGAACCCAGGAAGCGGAGAUUGCAGUGAGCCGAGAUUGCACCACUGCACUCUGGCCUGGGUGACAGAGUGAGACUCCAUCUCAA
rnacentral:sRNA from 1 species